rnacentral:rRNA from 1 species
AUUGAACGCUGGCGGCAUGCUUUACACAUGCAAGUCGAACGGUAACAGGCCGCAAGGUGCUGACGAGUGGCGAACGGGUGAGUAAUGCAUCGGAACGUGCCCAGUCGUGGGGGAUAACGCAGCGAAAGCUGCGCUAAUACCGCAUACGAUCUAUGGAUGAGAGCGGGGGACCGUAAGGCCUCGCGCGAUUGGAGCGGCCGAUGUCAGAUUAGGUAGUUGGUGGGGUAAAGGCUCACCAAGCCAACGAUCUGUAGCUGGUCUGAGAGGACGACCGGCCACACUGGGACUGAGACACGGCCCAGACUCCUACGGGAGGCAGCAGUGGGGAAUUUUGGACAAUGGGCGCAAGCCUGAUCCAGCAAUGCCGCGUGAAGGAAGAAGGCCUUCGGGUUGUAAGCUGCUUUUGUGCGGAACGAAACGGUCCUGGUUAAUACCCGGGGCUAAUGACGGUACCGUAAGAAUAAGCACCGGCUAACUACGUGCCAGCCGCCGCGGUAAGAC